rnacentral:lncRNA from 1 species
AAAAACUAUAUAAGGGGUGGAAAUCACCUCUUGGAAUAUAUAACAUAGGUGACGUUUUGACACUUAGAGAAAUAUACAGAGCUCUCUCGUUUCUCUUUUCUCUUUACUAUUUUCUUUUUCUUGGAAGCCAAACAACCUCUGAGGAUGUUUUCCCGGAGGAUGAAAGGCUAAACUUUCGGUUUCUUGGAGUAAAGGAAGCUAGGUGAAAAGUCCAGAUGAAAUGGUGGAAAGCUUCCGUGCAUUAAAUUCAGGUAGUUGGAAUUCAUAAAUGGCUUCUAAAUCCAAAGUUUUGCUUUAAAUCCCUUAGAAUCACUUUGAAUGACCAAUACAUGGUAAGCUUCAGGUCUUUAUGGAUGCUUA